GUCCCUGUAGCGCAAUGGAUAGCUUGUUGGACCUCUAAUCCAGAGGUCGUGGGUUCGAUUCCUACCUGGGAUG